GUAUUCAUUAUUUUAGCAUUUUGGUGCAUUUUCUUAAAAAAUUAAAAAUUCUGCCUAAAUACCACAGUAUAGCUCCACCUUCAGCUUAAAACAUAGAAUUUGACUCAUUUUGAAUAAAUUUUAGCCAAUGGCUAAAGAGUAAGAUACUACGUAAUCCAGUAGAGUACUACGUAGCAGCUCUGUGUCAACGUUAUAAAAGCAUCGGGAGUCUCGGCCACGCCUUGUGGCGAGUUGGGAGUUGGAUUUGCAUGAGAGUGUAGGAGGCUAGCCGUAGUUCAGCAUUAGCAUAUAGCAUUAGCAUAUCCUAGUCUUUAGCAUAGCUUUUAGUGUUAUACAUACUUAUUUAGUGUUAGCUUGGCUGUUGGAUAUUGUAGUUUAGUUACUGUUUGGCUGUUAGUGUAAUUAGGAAAGUAGUUCGGGUUUAGUGCUCCAUAUCGUGUUAGCAUGGUGAGAUGGUGUAGUGUAGUAUGGUUGCGGAGCUCUGUCGGGUUGCACUCCUUUCCGCUGGACUUAGAAAUUAGGCGCCAGUGGUUGCGUGUCUGGAAAAGAUUCAGCUCCCGCCUGGUGCUGUAGUUUGCAACCAGCAUUUUACCCGCGAUUCUGCACGUCUCCGUUCCAAGAGGGAGGCUGUGCCCACCGUGGCUCUUCCGCGAUUUAGAUGCAGCCCACCGACUCUGCUCCCCCACCAUGACGGGCUACAGUCUGAGGCUAAAUCUACCCAAGACACUGACUGUCAGACUGAUUUAGUAAUCUGCAAGAAUGCACUUGUCCAGGCUGACGUGGUGUUACCCGUAGCAAAGAGCUCACAGCCUCAGUGUCUUGUGACACAGGGACCAUGACAGAAAUUCAUCUUCCAGAAGGUCCCAGAGCAUCCACACCUCCUGAAAAGACCACGGUGUGAGGUGUCUGCUGUUGAUUCCAGCUUCCACCUCAGUGACAGUGCAAGCUCAGUGAACUGUUCAAGGAGGCUACUGAUUCUGGCCCUGUGACACUUGGUGGUCACCACCAGGUGGUGACGUGUGAGCUGAUUCACCUGGACACUCAGCAAAAUAUGGACUCUACACCAUGAGGCAGGCACACGUUAAUAACUCUAUAAGAGCACAUAAGCCUGGCUGAUCACCUGAUAACUCCUGUCAUCUGGUUAUGACAGCAUGAGGAUGUCCUCACACACCUGUAACCUAUCAGCUCAUCUGGCAGAAUAGAGAGAGAAGAGACAACACCACAUCUCCUGUUCCUGGAAAGCCUUCAGCCAUCCUUUGAUGACUGAGAACCUCCAUCAGCUCUGUCUCCUGUCUGCCUACAAUUAUUAUAAUAAAUAUUGUGUUUGACAAGUU